rnacentral:rRNA from 1 species
UUAAGCGACUAAGCGUACACGGUGGAUGCCCUGGCAGUCAGAGGCGAUGAAGGACGUGCUAAUCUGCGAUAAGCGUCGGUAAGGUGAUAUGAACCGUUAUAACCGGCGAUUUCCGAAUGGGGAAACCCAGUGUGAUUCGUCACACUAUCAUUAACUGAAUCCAUAGGUUAAUGAGGCGAACCGGGGGAACUGAAACAUCUAAGUACCCCGAGGAAAAGAAAUCAACCGAGAUUCCCCCAGUAGCGGCGAGCGAACGGGGAGCAGCCCAGAGCCUGAAUCAGUGUGUGUGUUAGUGGAAGCGUCUGGAAAGGCGUGCGAUACAGGGUGACAGCCCCGUACACAAAAAUGCACAUGCUGUGAGCUCGAUGAGUAGGGCGGGACACGUGGUAUCCUGUCUGAAUAUGGGGGGACCAUCCUCCAAGGCUAAAUACUCCUGACUGACCGAUAGUGAACCAGUACCGUGAGGGAAAGGCGAAAAGAACCCCGGCGAGGGGAGUGAAAAAGAACCUGAAACCGUGUACGUACAAGCAGUGGGAGCACGCUUAGGCGUGUGACUGCGUACCUUUUGUAUAAUGGGUCAGCGACUUAUAUUCUGUAGCAAGGUUAACCGAAUAGGGGAGCCGAAGGGAAACCGAGUCUUAACUGGGCGUUAAGUUGCAGGGUAUAGACCCGAAACCCGGUGAUCUAGCCAUGGGCAGGUUGAAGGUUGGGUAACACUAACUGGAGGACCGAACCGACUAAUGUUGAAAAAUUAGCGGAUGACUUGUGGCUGGGGGUGAAAGGCCAAUCAAACCGGGAGAUAGCUGGUUCUCCCCGAAAGCUAUUUAGGUAGCGCCUCGUGAAUUCAUCUCCGGGGGUAGAGCACUGUUUCGGCAAGGGGGUCAUCCCGACUUACCAACCCGAUGCAAACUGCGAAUACCGGAGAAUGUUAUCACGGGAGACACACGGCGGGUGCUAACGUCCGUCGUGAAGAGGGAAACAACCCAGACCGCCAGCUAAGGUCCCAAAGUCAUGGUUAAGUGGGAAACGAUGUGGGAAGGCCCAGACAGCCAGGAUGUUGGCUUAGAAGCAGCCAUCAUUUAAAGAAAGCGUAAUAGCUCACUGGUCGAGUCGGCCUGCGCGGAAGAUGUAACGGGGCUAAACCAUGCACCGAAGCUGCGGCAGCGACGCUUAUGCGUUGUUGGGUAGGGGAGCGUUCUGUAAGCCUGUGAAGGUGUGCUGUGAGGCAUGCUGGAGGUAUCAGAAGUGCGAAUGCUGACAUAAGUAACGAUAAAGCGGGUGAAAAGCCCGCUCGCCGGAAGACCAAGGGUUCCUGUCCAACGUUAAUCGGGGCAGGGUGAGUCGACCCCUAAGGCGAGGCCGAAAGGCGUAGUCGAUGGGAAACAGGUUAAUAUUCCUGUACUUGGUGUUACUGCGAAGGGGGGACGGAGAAGGCUAUGUUGGCCGGGCGACGGUUGUCCCGGUUUAAGCGUGUAGGCUGGUUUUCCAGGCAAAUCCGGAAAAUCAAGGCUGAGGCGUGAUGACGAGGCACUACGGUGCUGAAGCAACAAAUGCCCUGCUUCCAGGAAAAGCCUCUAAGCAUCAGGUAACAUCAAAUCGUACCCCAAACCGACACAGGUGGUCAGGUAGAGAAUACCAAGGCGCUUGAGAGAACUCGGGUGAAGGAACUAGGCAAAAUGGUGCCGUAACUUCGGGAGAAGGCACGCUGAUAUGUAGGUGAAGUCCCUUGCGGAUGGAGCUGAAAUCAGUCGAAGAUACCAGCUGGCUGCAACUGUUUAUUAAAAACACAGCACUGUGCAAACACGAAAGUGGACGUAUACGGUGUGACGCCUGCCCGGUGCCGGAAGGUUAAUUGAUGGGGUCAGCGCAAGCGAAGCUCUUGAUCGAAGCCCCGGUAAACGGCGGCCGUAACUAUAACGGUCCUAAGGUAGCGAAAUUCCUUGUCGGGUAAGUUCCGACCUGCACGAAUGGCGUAAUGAUGGCCAGGCUGUCUCCACCCGAGACUCAGUGAAAUUGAACUCGCUGUGAAGAUGCAGUGUACCCGCGGCAAGACGGAAAGACCCCGUGAACCUUUACUAUAGCUUGACACUGAACAUUGAGCCUUGAUGUGUAGGAUAGGUGGGAGGCUUAGAAGUGUGGACGCCAGUCUGCAUGGAGCCGACCUUGAAAUACCACCCUUUAAUGUUUGAUGUUCUAACGUGGACCCGUAAUCCGGGUUGCGGACAGUGUCUGGUGGGUAGUUUGACUGGGGCGGUCUCCUCCUAAAGAGUAACGGAGGAGCACGAAGGUUGGCUAAUCCUGGUCGGACAUCAGGAGGUUAGUGCAAUGGCAUAAGCCAGCUUGACUGCGAGCGUGACGGCGCGAGCAGGUGCGAAAGCAGGUCAUAGUGAUCCGGUGGUUCUGAAUGGAAGGGCCAUCGCUCAACGGAUAAAAGGUACUCCGGGGAUAACAGGCUGAUACCGCCCAAGAGUUCAUAUCGACGGCGGUGUUUGGCACCUCGAUGUCGGCUCAUCACAUCCUGGGGCUGAAGUAGGUCCCAAGGGUAUGGCUGUUCGCCAUUUAAAGUGGUACGCGAGCUGGGUUUAGAACGUCGUGAGACAGUUCGGUCCCUAUCUGCCGUGGGCGCUGGAGAACUGAGGGGGGCUGCUCCUAGUACGAGAGGACCGGAGUGGACGCAUCACUGGUGUUCGGGUUGUCAUGCCAAUGGCACUGCCCGGUAGCUAAAUGCGGAAGAGAUAAGUGCUGAAAGCAUCUAAGCACGAAACUUGCCCCGAGAUGAGUUCUCCCUGACCCUUUAAGGGUCCUGAAGGAACGUUGAAGACGACGACGUUGAUAGGCCGGGUGUGUAAGCGCAGCGAUGCGUUGAGCUAACCGGUACUAAUGAACCGUGAGGCUUAACCUU